rnacentral:lncRNA from 1 species
CUGUGCGCUGCUCUUGUGGGCUGUGGUGUCUGGAGUUAUGUUCUUUGGAUAGAGUGGUGUGGGGACCACAGGUGACCUUUCUGUCUUCCUCUCUCCUGAGGGUCCCAGCAGAGCACUGGUGUGAGUAUCUUGGGGAGGUUUGAUCUUUAACUGACAAGGGGAAUGUGCUGGUGUGGGAGGAGGAGUUGUUCUGGUUUUGAUUACUUGUGCUGAGUCUGUGUUCCAGAGGUUCCCUAUGAGAAGCAGUGGUAUUGCCAAUGAGGUGAUGUGAGGGUGUGGUAGUGAGGGUUGUGGUAGGCUCCAGUUGUUCUCUUAGAGUGUGGAUUCUGGUGUCUCUGUGUUGUAGUAAUUCUAUGACUGCUGACAAGUCCCUUUGUAGCUCCUCCCUGAUGUCAGCUACCUCUCUCCUCAUGAUGCUCUCGACCAUUGACAGUUUCUCUCUUAGCUCCUCCUUAUCCUGCCUCAGAACCACAAUGAAAAUGUAAAGGUAGAGAACACACAGAAGGCUGUUGUAUAAGAGAGGGAGAAGUGUCUAUCCAUGUAUACGGCUGCCCCACGAUGAGGACAACGAAACCGGGCUCAAGGAAUGAACAGUUAAGCCCAUGUCCUGGAUCUCCCAUCAUAAUAACCAAGGAGCAACAUUUUGGAGCAAACUUUAUUAGUCAAGGAAGAAGCACACAAACGGUAAUGUGUAUUGGAAGAGAUUUCUGAUUGGUCUUCACCCAGCAUAUACCCCUCCAACCAGACAUGCUUUAUCUACUCAUUUGCUGAAUGCAGAGUUCAACAGAGUUCAAGUGAAGGUCAAGCAAAUCAUAGAGAAAGCAGACUGUACUGCAAUCAUCUCUGAUGGGUGGUCGAAUGUUCGUGGGCAAGGAAUAAUGAACUACAUCAUCUCCACCCCUCAACCAGUAUUCUACAAGAGCACAGACACAAGGGACAACAGACACACCGGUCUCUACAUUGCAGAUGAGCAUAAGGCAGUCAUCAAUGACCUUGGACCACAGAAGGCAUUUGCACUGGUGACAGACAAUGCUGCGAACAUGAAGGCUGCUUGGUCGAAAGUGGAGGAGUCCUACCCUCACGUCACACCCAUUGGCUGUGCUGCUCAUGCAUUGAAUUGGUUAGGUAUGUGAAGAGUCUACAAGUUAUAACAGCAAUCUACCUCACCAAGUAAAAUGAGAAGAAUAAGAGCACCACAUUAAAGCUGCCCAGCAACACCCGUUGGGGUGGUGUUGUCAUCAUGUUUGACAGUCUCCUGGAGGGGAAGGAGUCUCUCCAAGAAAUGGCCAUAUCACAGUCUGCCAAUAUUUACAGCUCCAUCAAGAGGAUCCUCCUGGAUGAUGUAUUUUGGGAGAGAGUGAUCUAAGAGAAGAAAUCCGUACUGCCCUGCCCACUUCACUGUUGCUCCAAGCAGAGGAAACUGCAGUUUUGGAAGCCUGAGAGGAAGACAACCAAAGCUUUAGUUUCUUGUCUAUCAUUUUACAGAUGUAUGUUGAAAACGUUUUUGGGAGAUGCGAUCGAUCAUUGGGGAUCAUUCAAUAUUCCCUUUCUUUUGUUGUUCAUUGAAAUCAUCCCAUGGGAAGAGUCAACUCAUUUAACUAAAGUAAAUUCAUAACUAAAUUGUUUUUAAAAAUGUAUAUUGGAAAGAUUUGAUCAUUAUCAAUUACACUGCUGUUCAAAAGUUUGGGGUCACUUAGAAAUGUACUUGUUUUUGAAAGAAAAUCACUUUUUUUGUCCAUUAAAAUAACAUCAAAUUCAUCUGAAAUACAGUGUAGACAUUGUUAAUGUUGUAAAUGACUAUUGUAGCUGGAAACGGUUGAUUUUUUCAUGGAAUAUCUACAUAGGCGUACAGAGGCCCCUUAUCAGCAACCAUCACUCCUGUUUUAAGGGUUAAGGUUUCUG